GAUAAUAUUUAAAUAGCUGCAGUAUUUUGACUGUACAAAGGUAGCAUAAUCAAUAGUUUUUUAAUUAAAAGCUGGAAUGAAUGAUUUUAUGAAAUAAUUUCUGUCUCAAAUUAAAUAGUUUUAUAAUUUUUUUUUUAGUUAAAAUACUAAAUUAAUUUUAAAAGACGAGAAGACCCUAUAGAAUUUUAUAAUUAAGGAAAAAAAAAUAAAUUAAAUUUAUUUUUUAAUUAUUAGAUUGGGGAAAUUAUUAAAUUUAAUAAAUUUUAAAUAUUUUAUACCAAAAAUUAUUGAUUAUUUGAUUUAUUAAUGUUUAAAUAUAAGAAUAAAUUACCUUAGGGAUAACAGCGUAAUUUUUUUAGAGAGAUCUUAUUAAUAAGAAAGUUUGCGACCUCGAUGUUGAAUUAAAAUAAAAUUUUAAUGAAGAAGUUAAAAAUUUUUGG
rnacentral:rRNA from 1 species